UAAUAUUUAAUAUUUUUCUUUAAUUAAUUCCGCGUGGAAAAAAAAUAAAGGAAAUUGUUUUCCCUUGCGCAAGUUCAUGCAAGUUCGCGCAACUGCGUAGUAUCUGCGUGUCGAGAUGCGUGGCCUUCACGACUCCGAUAACGUAUCAAGAAGUGUCUCAUUUUGACCUGGCUUUUUCGUAAAAAAUUAUGCAACUGCGGACUUGGAUUAUCUAUAUCAGCUGCAAAGGAAGAAAUAAACAAAUCGCGAGGCAUACAAAGUUUGUACGUACGCGGCGCAACGUUACGACAAUGUUACGUAGGGGAGACCGGGGCUAAUUGGUACAUGGGGCAGAAGUGUUAAAAUAUUUUCAAGGACGAAAUAACCGGACAGAUAAAACGGCAACAAAAUAAGGAUACGCGCCGCGUAUUGUUAUUGGGCAGUCAUUCUGGAAGCGUCGUCGUAGCCUGCGAAUGUCGAGUAUUGAUACGGACGACGGAUUAUCUCAACUAGGCGCGGAAUACGUGCUCGUUCUCAUACGCACUCCUCUCGCCACACAAGGUGACGUUUAAUUAUAGCUUGUAGAACGCGCUAUAUUCGCUAAAUCAGCAGAUAUGACAAAGUUCGUUCACGGUUCCUUUUCUCUUUCUCCUUCUUACUUUCGGCAUUUAUAAAAAUACCGUGCGAAGGAAAUCGUCGAUCAAAUUCGAAGGACAGCGAUGAUCAGACGAAAGAAAAUUGAACGCGGACACGUGGUGCCGUUAAUCGAUUUGAUCCUGAUAGUUGGCAUUAAAUCGGUCCUCAGUCUGCUCUCAAACUGGCAACUGACGCGACUAGCCGAGAAUCCUCCUGGAUGGUUGCGGGAACAGGUUUCAUCGAGCUGUAAGCGCCGCGCCGCCUUGGCGUUGUAGAAAGCUCCAUGACCCCGAAGCAAGAAGACUAGAAGAAGGAGGGAUACGCAGUGACGUACCAAGA